AUGGUCAAAUCUAUAUAUAUGGAUCAAAUUAAUACUCGCUCAAUCCCAAGAUCGUUACAUAUCUGGAAAAUUAAGGUUUCCUUGCGUAUCAAGACUUUCAUGUGGUUUGUCCACAAGCAAGUGAUCCUCACCAAAGAAAAAUUAAUAAAACGGCGUUGGGUAGGAAGUGCACGUUGUUGUUUUUGUGAUCGUGAUGAAACAAUACAACACCUAUUCAUAGAUUGCCCUCUUGCGAAAUUACUUUGGGGAAUGGUUCAUAUAGCCUUUAACAUUAUUCCUCCGGUUAGCAUUGAAGCGUUACUUGGGACAUGGCUAGCUGGAGUAGAUCUUAUUACGGCGUCCCGUAUUCGGAUUGGAAUAUGUGCGCUUAUUUGGGCUAUAUGGAAUUGCAGGAAUGAUAAUUUUUUAACAGACAACAUACUUUAA
rnacentral:rRNA from 1 species